GCAACAACGAUGAACGGGAGAGUACUUUGCACAAUCCGUGAUGCAGCGAAUCGGGAUGGUGGAAGCCGAUACGGAAUGAAGAGGAAGCGGACCCGGGAGUUGGCUCUGUGAACUGCCUCAUACGGGGACGUAGGGGAGCCCGGCGACAGCCGUUAUUUAUCGAGUGGACUCUUUUCGGAGCAUCAAGCUUCCGGGUAGGGUCAAGUAGAGUGGUACCACGGGGAUUCAAGCCUCCGUCUCUUUG
rnacentral:ncRNA from 1 species